ensembl:snRNA U5 U5 spliceosomal RNA
AUACUCUGGUUUCUCUUCAGAUCGUAUAAAUCUUUCGCCUUUUACUAAAGAUUUCCGUGGAGAGGAACAGGCACGAGUGUCGAAAAAUUUUUUGAGGCUCCAUUUCGGUGGAGCU